GAAGUCUUGGAUUCUUCGAUCUUCAAUCCUCCGCUCCGGACUUCUUCAAGACUCCGACUCGACCCACGAAACUUGCCAACACAUAGGACCUAACAUGGAGAAUGUAAAAUACCAGAUUUUGGUAUAAAAAUAAAAAUAAAUAAAAAUAGUGUGAGAAACUAUUUUUAUUGAAUUUAGGAAAGUAAAACAUAAGUCAGAAGUGACUUGUGCUGAAAUCGGAAUGAAAACAGAAAAUUUAGAAUUUUCUGUUGGAAACGGGAUAGAUAAAUUAGCAGAAAAUGCAUAGUCUCAGAAAAUUAUGAAAACUUGAGCAUAAGCCAGAAUUAUUUUUAUGAUGUUAGAUUUAAAGUUUCAUGUCAUUCUGACACUCGGAAGGUGAAAAAUAAAAUCCGAUAGUUUUCGGUGACUAAACGGGGUCGAAACUGAAAUAUUAAAAUUUCUUUGGACUCGUAAAGUAAAACCGAACAUGACU
rnacentral:lncRNA from 1 species